rnacentral:rRNA from 1 species
GAUGAGGUUGAUAGGUUCGAGAUGGAAGCGUGGUGACACGUGGAGUUGACGGAUACUAAUCGAUCGAGGACUUAACUAAAUU